GACGAACGCUGGCGGCGUGCUUAACACAUGCAAGUCGAACGAAGAGCGAUGGAAGCUUGCUUCUAUCAAUCUUAGUGGCGAACGGGUGAGUAACGCGUAAUCAACCUGCCCUUCAGAGGGGGACAACAGUUGGAAACGACUGCUAAUACCGCGUACGAUCUAAUCUCGGCAUCGAGGAUAGAUGAAAGGUGGCCUCUACAUGUAAGCUAUCACUGAAGGAGGGGAUUGCGUCUGAUUAGCUAGUUGGAGGGGUAACGGCCCACCAAGGCGAUGAUCAGUAGCCGGUCUGAGAGGAAGGACGGCCACAUUGGGACUGAGACACGGCCCAGACUCCUACGGGAGGCAGCCGUGGGGAAUCUUCCGCAAUGGACGGAAGUCUGACGGAGCAACGCCGCGGGAGGGAUGACGGCCGUCGGGUUGUAAAGCUCUGUUAAUCGGGACGAAAGGCCUUCUUGCGAAUAGUGAGAAGGAUUGACGGUACCGGAAUAGAAAGCCACGGCUAACUACGUG
rnacentral:rRNA from 1 species